UCCACGCCCUAAACGAUGUAUGCUUGGUGUUGGGAGUUCUGCUCUCAGUGCCGGAGGUAACCCGUUAAGCAUACCACCUGGGGAGUACGAUCGCAAGGUUGAAACUCAAAGGAAUUGACGGGGGCCCGCACAAGCGGUGGAUCAUGUGGUUUAAUUCGAUGCAACGCGAAGAACCUUACCCGGGCUUGAAGUGUAGGUAGUAAAGAGACGAAAGUCGAAUGAACCGUUAAGCC
rnacentral:rRNA from 1 species